rnacentral:lncRNA from 1 species
UUCUACAAAUGAUAUUACCGAAUACAUAUUUACUAUUUUUAUCUUUUUCAUUGUGGUUACUGAGCAUAUAUUACUUUUUUCAAUUUUUAAAAUACAAUAUACAAAAAAUAACACCAGACACAUGCUUAAUUUAUAAUACUACAACUACAAAACAUCAACAUCAUUUUCAUUCUCAUUCUCAUUCUCAUUUUUUUUUUCAGAAAAUAUGAAUUUAGAAAUAAUACUGAUCAGGCCCUAAGGGGUCGAGAAUUUCGUCUGAUACAAGUCUCUCUAUUCUCCAUUUGGAGAUAUGCCCAAUCUCCUAUGCCAUAAUGCCACUGAAUCCUUAUUGGCUAAUCUUUUCUUUAAACCUUAUGUACUGAAUUGCAGGAAUUUGUUAAAUGAAGCAAUUGUAUCAAGUAUAUAAAUAUUAUUAUUGCCUAACAAAGAACUAGAACCAACCAAUUUUGAAUCAUGAAACAAACUAAAAUUUCCAUUUCCAAAUGAACAAGUAAAACCAGACUUGUCUAAAGCAAAACUGGAAAUCAAAUUUUGCUUAAAAGACAAAACAAUAAAUGUCUCAUCAAGAUACAAAUAAAAUUCGGUCUUUAAUAAUAAUCUAAAUUUUUUAAUUACUUUAACUUCAACCUUCUUGCCAUUUCCCAUAUAGAUGUACCUUUCACAAUCAUUGGGCUUUCGACAAUUCAAACAACCCUGCAUAGACACCUUGAUGUGAGUUGUUGCACCAGAAUUUAUCCACCGUGUGUGUCCUAGUACCAAAGUUAAAUUAAUCUUAGAACAAACUAAACCAUGCCCUUCAACUCCGUAAAAGAAACAACUAGUACCUUUCGGAUCAUCUGAUUUCUUUUGUCUUUUCUCUUGAGGUGCUAUAUCUGUAGCAUUCUUAUCCGUCUUCUUUUUCUUUCCCUUGUAUUUGUCCUUAUACUUUACUGAAAUUAGAUCUAUCAAGAGCGUACCUAUUUCGACCUUUUCGUUGUUGACAAAUCUCCUUUUAAUAUCAGCAAGAAAUUCUUUAGCUGAGUUGUCUUUUCAAACAUUAAGCCUUUGAAUACUUCUGGAAUGGCCUUCUUCAUGAUCAUGCCUUUGAAUACUUCUGGAAUGGCCUUCUUCAUGAUCAUCAUACACAUGUGAUUUAAUUUCUUCCACUUUUCUAUACCUUUUUUGUCAUCAAGGCUACUCUCAUUCGUAAAGAGGUUCUCUUGCCAUGAAUUUAGGUUAUACCCAUUUAACAUAGGAAUAUAGUUGAAGUUGGCAGUAAUAUUAGCAAAACCAUAAUUGUACAGAAAAAAAAGAAAAAAACAAGCUCAUAUAAAUUAAAUUCAAAUAAAGGUCAACCCCAUAUUAAGAUACUGGACAUUCCUUUAAUAUUUCAUUUUUUUGACAAAAUAUUAACUUAUAAGUGAUACCUUAGUAUAGUAAUCAAACGCUGAUAAUAAGAACAUGUCAAAUAAUAAAUUUUCCUUUGGCUGAUUUAUUAUUGACAUGUAAACCAAAUAAUCAUCAUGCAUUUAUUACCAUAAGUGCACAUGCAAUUCUAUCAAAUAUGGACCUUCAUUUAGACAAAUCAAUAUUUCACAGAAAUUACAUAUACAAAACUGUUUAUAUUCUAAAAUAAAUUAAUUUUCACAAGAGAUGUCACUUUGAUAACAUGCUGCUUUAAUUAAUAAAUAUAUAUAAACAUACAAAUAUUUGAAUUUAAAAUUGUACCAAAAUUAUCCUUAAAAAAUUAAAAAGAUUUGGGUCAAGGUUCCAUUAACGGUUAAUGGUCAACUAUUGACCAUUCAACCGUCGAGUGGGAUGGGACUAGAUCGAUUCAAGUUGACCAGAACCUCAACCCAAACCGGAUCCUAAACCUGCUAUAUAUUAAAAUCCUAACUCUUUUUUUUUUUUAGCUUUUUCUUGUUCCAGAUGCGAUGCCAUCUGAUGCGACCUUUGCGCGCAGCCCAAUGGUUUGCAACAUUCAACCAUAUCUUUUCCAACCCUAGCGUGGCUUGGACUACUGCUAGCCCUCAGCUCUUAAUCCAAAUGUAUAUUGAAACCAAAUUUCAUUAUAUUUCUAGAUUUUCUGAAUUUUUAUUUUAAUCCUCAAUUUAUUCUGAAAUUAAAAUUAGCAGAAUUAUUGGAUUUAAGAACACCCAAAAAUUUAAUCAGUAAUCGAAAGUAAAGUCGAUUCUUAAUGAUUGAAUAUAAAGAGGCUCUUAUACCACUUGUUAGAACAAUAAUAUUUUGGCAAAAUCAUCACCUAUAAACCAAAAAUAUUCAUGUUAUAUCACUAAGAACCAAUAAAUGAAUAUGUGGAAGCAUGCUUAAAUCCAUAAUGCUUAAUUGCUCUCUAAAGUCGUAUGGUUUGUCUUCUAGAUCAACACUUUCUUUUAGAAAAUCCUUUAAACUUCUCUUCGCACUCUCUUUGAUGAUAGGAUGCCAAUAGAGAAUAGAAUGAUAAGUGUGAUGUGGGAGUUAUAAACUCUCAUAUAGACAACUUUUUUAUGUUGUCUUUGUGUAUUCCUAUUUCAACCCAUCAUAAAAAUAGAAAUUAGCCUUAUGUAUCUACACAUUAAAGGCUCACCCUAUUAGAUACAUUACCAAAUUACUGAAAAACCUUAAUAGAUCACUUUUAAUUGGGUUUAACCUUAUAUAACAAUCCGCAACACAUAAUUAUUCGCAUAUAAGACCAACCUUGAAUUAGGGAUCCAACCUUACUGGAUUAAAGAUCCAACAUUAAGUCCUUAUAUUGUCCCUUAUAUAUAUUAUAUUUAUUAAUACCUAUUAGGAUUCUUUUAGUUUAAAUCCAUAUAAUAUUGCAAUUUAAAUAUAUUCACUAAAAGUUCCAAAAAAUAAGUAAAUUAAAAAAUUAAGAAUGUGGAAAUAUGGAGGGGAUAAGAAUUACAGCUUAUCCUAGUCCCUUACCCCAAUGAUAGAAAUGUAUCAAAAUGAUCUCUAUACCUAUCUUUGAUGUUAAUUUUUGAAAGUUUCAUCCCUAUCCAUCAUGGGAGGGAGGGGUCUUUAAAGCUCGUUGUGAUGGAUAUUUUUAUCUCCCACUUAGACCAUAUUUACUAUUGAGGUGUUGUAGUAAAUAUGAUUUUUAAAAUUAAUUUUAACAAAAAUAGUAAAUGUAUUAUAGGUUUUUCCAUUAUAAAAGUGUGAAAUAAAAUUAAAUUAGCUUACAAACCACAACAGUAAAAUAAGUGUUUACCAAAUACUUUUAAGUAUUUAUCAAAUACUUUAGUAUUAUAACUUAAUGCUACAGUUGCCUAACUAGGAUAUCAAACAUAACAUGGCCUUAAUGAGGAUAAUGAUGCCAAGAUUACCAAAAAAACAAAUUGUAGUUCUUUUUAUCGUGACAAUAGUUUAAAGUUAGGGAAAAAGAAAGAAAGAUAGACAAAUGUGAAACAAAUAAAUACAAUCAUAUAUAGAUGAAAGGGAGCUGAUAAGGUGUACGCAGUCACAUACGUGGGUGUUAAGCUCCUAUGAGGAGGUUGUGGGACUCACAGCAUGUAGCUUUCCCCAAUAAAAGCUUGACUCGUCCACAGUCUCACACUAUAAGGUGCGCGAUUGUGCAUACUUAAUUACCCCAAAUCACUUUAUAUAGAUGACAUUAUUUAGAUGCAUGAUUCAUGUUCUCUCACUAAAUCAAUUUGUUUGAAGUUAAUAAAGAUUUUGGGACCACCAUUGAUGCCUAGUGGGAAAAGGAAAUUACUUUUGACUUAUUAGUUUGUAUUGAAAAUGGGCAAAUUAAAUGACAGAUAAAAUAUUGCCCUUGGCAAUUAGUUGCAGGGUUUCAAUUUCUCUCCAAAUGAGAGUAGAAGUCUUUUUGAAAUUUGAAAAAAGUUUUUUGUUAAAUAUAGGAGUAGUAAUUUACAAGGCCGACUUUA